rfam:Halanaerobium hydrogeniformans chromosome, complete genome.
AUUAAUCUGCUAUGUGCGAUAAUGAUUAACAAAAUUUUGACCAACACUUACACAUAGGGAGCCUGGUCUCUACCUGCAGCGUAUAAGCCUUAGAUGGACAUACAAACCAGGGAGGAGGGCACCCACUUGGCAGACAGGGAUCAAAAUUAAUAAUCAACCGGCAUGGCGGAUUAUUU